CAAGCUGACACAAACUAGAAGUCACCUGGGAGGAGGCCACCUCACUGGGAAAUUACACCAGUCUGGCUGCCCUCUGAGCAAGCCCAUGAGACAUCCUCUUGACUGUUAAUGGGAUAGGGACCACAGCGGAUACUGUCACUCCUUAGUGGUAGUGCAGGGUUCUGUUAGAAAUCAGGCUGAACAGGUCACUAAGCAGCACUCCUCUAUGGUUUCUGCCUCAGUUCCUGCCUCCAGGUUCCUGCCCUGCCUUCCAAGAUAAUGAACCUAUGAUCUAAAAUAAGCUUUCUCCCCAAUUUGCUUUUGAUCCAGCUUUUGAUGACAGCAACAGAGAAGGAACUGGAACAGAGACCUUCCUCUGCUGUGCCCCGAAGACCCAGGAGACCCAAUGCAAUGGACCUCCGGAAGCUGCAGGUGCGACUGCAUGAGACCGUUCUACCAUCAGGAUGUGAAGACAGCACCCAGGUGCAAGGGAGCUGUCUCCCUGUCUCCAGCCUCAAUGCAUAUGAAGAACCAGCCCUCCUUGUUUGAUAGCAGUCGGAUCAGAGGAGCUUUGGAGAUACCUAGCUACACCCUCUAACUGUAUGUAUAAGGCCAGACUUAGUCAAGAACACAAUCACAGUUGAUGCUAACCCAGGAUUUAGCACAUACCUAGAAUUUCCCUAAUAACAUACACACUUAGUUUAAUCCUCCACAAAAUUUAUUUUUUAAGAGGUAAACUUAGGGCUGGAGAGAUGGCACUGGUUGCUCUUCCAAAAGUUCUGAGUUCAAUUCCCAGCAACCACAUGGUGGCUCACCACCAUCUAUAAUGAGAUCCAUUGCCCUCUUCUGGUGUUACUCAUUUAUAUAAUAAAUAAAUAAAUUGUUUUUUUAAAAAAGAGGUAAACUUAGACACAGGACAGUAAGAAACCUGAUAAGAACCAAAGAGCUCAUUAGCCAAAGCCCAGACUAGCAACUUUGCUUCGGAGUCCAAGUGGCAUUUUGAAUUGUGCCUAAACCUCCAGAUUGGGAUUCUGAGUCCAAUUCUCAUAUCAAUAAAGAAAGCUGAUGAUAAUAUGGCACUUCAAAGUCACAUGACUGCUAGGUUGGAAAGAGAUAAGAUCAAAGAGUCAUUCCAUACAUAGUAACACUGUAGUAAAUACAAUUUCUAGUUCGCAGUAAACGUCUCUACUUUAUCAUCACUAAUUAGCCCCCCUUCUCCUUUUCCCUUCGGAGCCUUAGUCUUUGUCUUUAAGAUCUAUUCUUUUGUUUUAAUUAUGUGUCUGUGUCAGGUGCUGGGGGACUAAAGUUGGAUAUGGGUGGCUGUGAACCACUCAGCAUGGCUGCUGGGAGCUGAACCGGCGUCCUCUGGGAGACACGCUCUAAUCACUGAACCAUCUCUCCAGUCUGCAGACCCCAGUCUCUUAUGUGUGUUCAUUUGGAACUCUCACAAGUUAAACUAUGACAGCUCAUGAGGGCAGAACUGGAGGCUAAAGUACUAGAGUGACCCCAGAAUAUACAAGACGGGGGUAUGGGUCCCCAGUCUCAAAUCUCAUUUCAUUCAUUCAUUCACUCAUUCAUUUAUUGCUUCCUGGGAACAAAACACUAAUUUUGAGACAUACGUACCCAUGUGACUGCCGUGGCUUUCAGUCUCCUGAAACACACUUGCGCAUCAUUCCUCCAGAGGAUGUCAGCGAUCCGCAGUUACGAAGCACUCACUCAUCUGCCCACCUCACAGGCCUCUGAACCAUCCCUGAGCUGCAGGAGGUUGAAGUGCCUCAGCUGGAGAGUGUUAAUAGAUUCUAUCACUCUCAGAUACACAAACCAGAGACGUGGCAACCGUUAUUUAUCUGAGUGGUUUGGGUAUUUUAGAACAGAAAUUGCUUGCUUGUGGUUGUUUUAUUUUUUUUCCCCUCCUGUAACCCGAAGAACAAACUGUUGUGUCCACUUAUUACAUUGAUAAGUAAAUUAGAUGCAAGACUUUCACAUCUCAUAAUCAACUUCACCCAACAAUAAAUAUGAAAUUGUGAAAUUUCUACCACCC
ensembl:lincRNA